rnacentral:rRNA from 1 species
CACUCCUGCGGGAGGCAGCAGUGGGGAAUUUUGGACAAUGGGCGAAAGCCUGAUCCAGCAAUGCCGCGUGAGUGAAGAAGGCCUUCGGGUUGUAAAGCUCUUUUGUCAGGGAAGAAACGGUGAGAGCUAAUAUCUCUUGCUAAUGACGGUACCUGAAGAAUAAGCACCGGCUAACUACGUGCCAGCAGCCGCGGUAAUACGUAGGGUGCAAGCGUUAAUCGGAAUUACUGGGCGUAAAGCGUGCGCAGGCGGUUUUGUAAGUCUGAUGUGAAAUCCCCGGGCUCAACCUGGGAAUUGCAUUGGAGACUGCAAGGCUAGGAUCUGGCAGAGGGGGGUAGAAUUCCACGUGUAGCAGUGAAAUGCGUAGAUAUGUGGAGGAACACCGAUGGCGAAGGCAGCCCCCUGGGUCAAGAUUGACGCUCAUGCACGAAAGCGUGGGGAGCAAACAGGAUUAGAAACCCGUGUAGUCCCAUG